UCCAAUGACUCGGGGUGCCCUAUGUGGCUGAGAAAUACCCGUUGAACCUGAACCGGAUAAUGCCGGCGGAGGGAAGUCAGAUGCCAGAGCC
rnacentral:ncRNA from 1 species